GGGCCCGUGGUCUAGUGGUAGGACGCCCGCCUUGCAAGCGGGAGGUCCCGGGUUCAAUUCCCGGCGGGUCCACCA
rnacentral:tRNA from 1 species